CCUGCGGCCCCUGCUCCGAGAUCAACUACGACCGCGGCCCCGAGUUCGGAGUCGAGGGCGGCCCGGCCGUCAACG
rnacentral:tRNA from 1 species